ensembl:lncRNA
AUGAAAACAAAGCUAAUUGUGUGUAAUGAAGCAAAUAUAUGUAUACAACCUGUUUAUAUAGAAAAACUUGUGUUGUAUUUACAGAAUACUGUAUCAUGUUAUGUGUUUUCUUUCCACGUCUCAGCAAGCAUCUAUGUGGUGAGGAAGAUCAGGGCUUCCAUUGCUGGGGGAGAGCAACUAGAGAAGCCCAUAACCACACCAUGUAGUGCUAUUGCUGAAACGGGAGCGGGACUUGAGUCGAGAGAAAAAUCCCCAUCGGCUGCUCUGAUGUCAGGACCUGAAGACAACGUCAGUGGACCAGCAGGCCCGAGGGCAUCCUCAGAGAGGGCUGUGCAGCAAUGUGGCUCUUGAUGUUAAAGAUCUAGCUAGACACUUGAAUUGGGGUCAACUCACUGGAAAAUUACAAUUUGUCAUCUUUGUGCUUUUUCAAUGCGAGGCAAUGGUGCUUAUGUUAUGUCCAAUAUCUUGUAAAUACAUAACGUAUUCGCUCAAGUACAAUGUUCAGCAUUCACCUUUGUCCAAACAAAAGUGAGCAUGGGCGUACUUUUGCAUUGCUGUCAUUCUAGUGAUGAUCUCAGUCAUGUGUGUAUGCUACUCUCCUGAUGAUGCACAUUCAGGCCUUUUUCACAGCAGACAUUUGGACCUACCAUAGCAGGAAAACACACUAUCGACAUUAAUGAUGACUUUUCUCCAGUAAGUUUUGCUGGGGAGCUAACAUGACAUUGUUAAAGGGUCCUGCAAUGGCACCUUAAUGUCUGAAUGCAGACAUUUUUGUCAAAUUUAUUUGGUUAGACAACAUGUUUUCUGUGAGAAAGGCCUGUAUUCAUUUACUGCAGUGUUUGAAGGCCGACUCACCAACCUCUCUCCAGGGGCUGAGCUGGCCUGAUGUUUAUGCUGUUGUAUCAAUAAAGGAAAAAUAAAACAACAAAAACAAGGUGGCAUCUGGGUUGAUGUGUAUAUACACUUGCAAAAUAUAAUAUUCAUAAGGAUAACCAUGGAAGCUUAUAAAUCAAACCUUUAAGGUGUACAGCAGCAAUAUGGUGGCAAGCUUCAGGAUGAACAUCCCUUUCACUGGUGGAACCACUACCAUGGUAACUUUCCUCCCAAAUAUAACUUGGUCCCAUGCUUCUUUGGUUCAACUUUUUCUUGUAAACAAAUUCUCCUUUUUACCCCUGAUGUUGGAUAACUUGGUAUUUGCAACACUCCCUUAAAUAAAAAAAAUAUACAGCAAUUUAUAAUCAAAUGAAAAUGUACACUAUUUAAACUAGGACAGAGAAGUUACUGGUAGUCGCUUGGAACUAAUAUUUAUACGGAGCGUGUUGCUUGACGAACACCACUGGCGUUGCACGUUGUCAGCGCUUGCUACUAGAGGGUUUUUAAACCAACUUCCACUUGCCGAGAAUUGGUUUGGGGUGUCACUUAACAUGACAGACCCCGUGAACGGGUAAACGGAGUGGAAGUGGUUGAAGCUAAGAUGUAGGAGUGGUUUGAGAAAAGGCGAAUUAUCGCCUCUCUUUGCCCCCCCCGAAACUUCCGGCGUCCACCGGAUGUUGCCAAGGAAUAUCCGUUCGCCUAUUAACAACAAAAUCAGAGCUAGCUCAAUAUGCUACUGGGCGCUAAUGAGGACGUUCGUGGGAAAAACAGCCGUCUGCAUUUCAUGAUAUAUUCUGUCGACACCAAGUGAAGCCGGACCUGGGGUAAGCGACAGCUCUCACGCUCUACGUUCAGCUAGCAUUACCGGAAAAGGUUGCUCGUACGCGGCUAGCUUUGUCCACUUUCGUUAGCUAAUGUGGUUUCCGUUUAAAGUUUUGAGUCCGAGCACUUGGGGAAAAGCAAUUUUGAGAUUGAACACGUGGUUUGUUGUAGGGGUGGGCGCGCGCACACCAACACACACACACACACACACACACACACACACGUAAUAACAGUGUGCCUGUGAGGGAUAUGGUGUGUGUCCCAUAAACUCCAGUUUCAGUGACAAAGGGAAUCUUUAAGUGGGCGUUGCUAGUUUGGGUAACGACUGGUGAACUGCUAGCUGGGACGCUAGUUUACUGUCGACUGUUUUAUUGGUGUCAAUCAAAAAAGUGAAUUCACCUUAUCUGAUCUCACCCUGGUGGCAGAUUCGAUACUGAAAACGUUUUGCAGUUGUCACAGCAAGUGACCCUGGGCAGUUUUUAACCAUAAACGGUUGAGGCAGCCAAGAGAGGAAUAUUCCAACACACAGUUUUUAUUAAUACACUCAUAGAAAGUGCAGCAAACAAAGAAACACAAAAAAACGCAUAAAGCAAUAUGAGGUGUGACCUUUGGAUUUAAAGCAGAACCAACCCACAGCACACAAUCUUUGUGUAACAUCCUACCAACCAAAGCACCUUUGGGAAACUUGGAUGUGGACUGUGUGUUGUUCCGUCUCUUAAUGUCAUCCCAGACUGACUUGGAUGAUGACGAGCUCAAGUAGGGGCCAUGGAGUUCUGUUUGAUCGCUCCCUGUUGUCUGUAAAGAUAGUUCUAUGACUCUGGCUGCAUGUCUGAGGUCGUUAUCAUGCUGCUGAAAGAACGUGGGACUGAUCAGAUGCUUCCCUAAUUGUACUUUAUUAUGGUUACAAAUGUAAAACAGGCAAAGUGCCUAAAAAACACCUUACAUUGUUUACCUAAAACAACGAUUGUGAACAGUUAUUGUCCAGUGGAAACUCUGACAAUGUUUAUAAACGUUUGUAUGUGUUUUCUUGCAGUGUUCUUGCCAAAUCGUGGACCAUGAUGGAGCAAAGAAGAGCCUUAACUAUUCCAUUUAGUGUCGACGAGGAUAAGUUGGUAAGUGCAACCCUUGUUUUUGAAGAAUCGCUUCCAAAUUUGCCAAGAUACUGUGGUAAUUAUUGCUUUAUGGCUGCCAUCAUAAAUCACUAUGCAGAGAAAUUAGACUAAAAAUGAAUGUGACUGUGUAUUACAUAAUCUUCAAAUAAAAAAUAAUAUGAUUUACAAAUAUGAAUAGGGAAUCAUUUUUGAAAGUCACAAGUGUUUGUUCCAAUCCACAUAGUCAGGGAAAAACAACUUUUGUUGGGAAAAAUUACUUUCUGUAAAUCAAUCAAUAAAUUAGUUUCUGGUCAAGUGAAAAUGUAUGAAUUUACAGACCAUUUCAAUUCUUGCUGUACCUGCUAUUCCACAAUCCACUUGGAAUCACGGUUUUAAUACCAGUGUGGCUAUAAACAGCUGCUACUUUUUCUUGUUAAACAUAUAAACAAACAAUAUGUUUUUGUGGUUGUUCAUCUAACCAGCCUGUGAAUUUUAGAUGGAAAACCCUCUGGAAAUCCCCACAGUCUGUAUUACAUCAGAGUGUGGGAAGUUAGACAGACAGGUACAGCAACAUUAACAAAUAAUAAUGGUAAUAACGUGGCUAAUGUUUAUAUUGAAUACACAUUACUUACUCACUAUCCUGGAUUAUUAGACAUGGUAACUCUGGUUUCUUUCCCCUUUUACAGGUUUCCUGGAAAACAUUUGCAGGUUGCAAGCUCAGACAUUGUGAUUCACAACAUAAAAACAGGUCCGUGCUCUUUGAUCACAACCACG